UAUUUAUUUAUUUAUUUUUUUAAUCAAGAUCUCUGUUUUGAUUUUUAUUAAAUUUGUUGGUUAUGCCUUCUUCUUAGCAUUGCUUUGAAGCACAAAUAUUGCGGUAUCCUUAAAGAUCAUGUAGGUGACAAUUAAAUAGCAUCUAAUUCUUUGGAGCCAUCUUGUAGAAUUAUUUAUUUAUUUUUAUGUUAAUUGUGCUAUUUUAAACAUGGUAUCAAUUCAAUAAGUAAGCAAUUAAGAAAAAGAAAAAAAAAAGGAGCAUGUCAUUGUCACUUGACAGUUUUGUGUCGUCUGAGGCCCUUAAUAUGGUUAAUAGCAAAGAAAAUGGCCAUUUUGUGGUGUCACUUGAAAACUGUCUCCUCAUAGUAAAGGCCAAAGGUGAAGACUGUAUCUUGAUCUCAUAUUCCGGAAUCCUGUUUGGCUAGUUUCAAUUCGUUGAAUUCCCCUUUUCAUAUGGAAUAUGAUAAUAGUUUGUCUGCAUCAUUUCAUUGGUGAUUUUGACACAGAAUUUUAUUAUUUCUUUGAAGUUUUCUGUUCUGGCAUUGGCAUUUCCAGAUGUUCUUGCCAAAGUGAUUAAGAAAAUUUAUGGAUAGUUGAAUUUGAUUCUCAAAGCCUGAAAAUUUUCUACGUUCUUCCCCUUUUAACCAUGCGCAGCACUUGUGUUGAUGGAAUAUCUG
rnacentral:misc_RNA from 1 species